ACGACCUUACUUGAACAGGAUCUGUUCUAUAGGAUCGUACUACUGUGUCCUUAUAUUCUAAGGAGACAGGAACCUACAUCUGGUGGAUGACACGUGGCCGUGUGAUCAGAGCGUGAUUAACGGUUCUGAGGUGUGAGCUUCCGGUGACCACCGCAGUUAGCUGUAGAGGAUCGUUUCCGGGUUCACUUGUGGGCCUGGGAUGGUUACACGGUUGUCUGACAGAUU
rfam:Cicer arietinum chromosome Ca3, whole genome shotgun sequence.